rnacentral:misc_RNA from 1 species
UGGCUCCAAAGCAGCUGCAGAUCUUCAUCCACCAAAGGUUGAUAGCAUGCAUGAAUAUAUUGUAAAUGGGAGAGUUGAUCUCUCUGUACCUGUGAGCAAUGAAGUUCAGGACAAGCUGAUCUCAGUGAGAGGAAGAAUGCGAUUAAAUCAAUUAAGACGUGAAGCUCGUUUGGGAAAUGCCAGAACAUUGGACAGAGAUUCAACAGAACACAA